rnacentral:rRNA from 1 species
UGGACAGAAAGACCCUAUGAAGCUUUACUGUAGCUUGGAAUUGGGUUCGGGCUUUUCUUGCGCAGGAUAGGUGGGAGGCUAAGAAAAUAAUCUUGCGGGAUUGUUAGAGCCAAUGGUGAGAUACCACUCUGGAAAAGCUAGAAUUCUAACCUUGAAAGCCGUUAUCCGGCCAAGGAACAGUUCCAGGUAGGCAGUUUGACUGGGGCGGUCGCCUCCUAAAAAGUAACGGAGGCGUGCAAAGGUUCUCUCAGGCUGGUCGGAAAUCAGUCGUAGAGUGUAAAGGCAUAAGAGAGCUUGACUGUGAGACCUACAAGUCGAACAGAGACGAAAGUCGGCCUUAGUGAUCCGGCGGUACCGAGUGGAAGGGCCGUCGCUCAACGGAUAAAAGUUACUCUAGGGAUAACAGGCUGAA